GGACGCAUAGCUCAGCUGGAUAGAGCAACUGCCUUCUAAGCAGUAGGUCGCAGGUUCGAAUCCUGCUGCGUUCACCA
rnacentral:tRNA from 1 species